GAAAUGUGUUUUUAAGGAAAAACUCUUUCUCGAGAGCUUUUCGCAUGUGGAAAUGGUGAAAUCCGGAUUUGCUGCUUGUCUUCUUUAAAUAAAGACGUGGCUCCAGUUGGUGUUGAAUGUCCUGUCUCUACAGAUUUGGAUAGUCUAUACCAGGGGUAGGCAAACUCAGUCCUGGAGGGCCGGUGUCCUGCACAGUUUAGCACCAGCUCUAAUCAAACACUCAAACAUCAAACACCAUCUCAAAAGAGUCAUGGAUGGAUGAAGUCAAGCUCUAGACUUUAAUGAAAACAUCACUUUCUCAUGGAGACCAGUCUUGCCAGGUUUUCCCAGAAGAAUGAACAUGAAAGUAAGUACAAACAUAGAAACCAUGUGAAAACUGAGAUGAUAUUCUUCAUUUCAUUGUAAAGAGUGACCCCUCACCCCAAUCCACACAUUUUGGAUAGAGAAAAAAGUCAUAAGCAAAACUUACUUAUUGAUGUUGGCUUCGCUAAAGGCUUGUAACCUCAGAUGUGUUGGACCCUGAUCUGCAGCUCACAGGUGUGGAGAAGAAUUACACAGACACCAGAGUCUGUUUGAUUUAAAGCACCUCCUACUCAUUUUAAUAAAUAUUCAUAUGCUCAAAGAAAAA